UUCGCGGUGAACGACCAGUUCAGCUGCUCGGCGGCCAGCGCGCCGUCACCGAGGAAGUCCCCGUCGGCGACCACGCCGAGCGCGGUCUCGUUGCCGUACUUGCCUUCUCCGGUCUUGGUCACCCGGCCGUGCACGAUCAGCACGACCUGGUCGACCGCCGACCCGGCCUCCGCGAGGGUCUCGCCCGCGGACAGCUCGCGCUGCACGAAGCGGUUGGCCAGCGCGCUGAGCACCUGGCUGUCGUCGAACCCGCGCAGCGCGGGGAUCUCGCCCAGCUCGGCGGGGAUCACCCGGACCUGCGAGCCGGUGGCGACGAACUCGAUGCGCCCGUCACCCACGGAGUAGGUCAGUCGGCGGUUGACCCGGUAGGCGCCGCCCUUGAUGUCCUCCCAGGGCAGCGCGUGCAGCAGCCAGCGCGGGCUGAUGCCCUGCAUCUGGGGCACGGACUUGGUGGUGGUGGCCAGGUUCCGCGCCGCGGCGGUGCCGAGACUCUGCGGUGACUGUCCCG
rnacentral:antisense_RNA from 1 species